AUUGGACGCUGGCGGCAGGCCUAACACAUGCAAGUCGAGCGGGUUUUCGGACCUAGCGGCGGACGGGUGAGUAAUGCGUAGGAAGCUGCCCGAUAGAGGGGGAUACCAGUUGGAAACGACUGUUAAUACCGCAUAAUGUCUACGGACCAAAGUGUGGGACCUUCGGGCCACAUGCUAUCGGAUGCGCCUACGUGGGAUUAGCUAGUUGGUGAGGUAAUGGCUCACCAAGGCGACGAUCUCUAGCUGGUUUGAGAGGAUGAUCAGCCACACUGGAACUGGGACACGGUCCAGACUCCUACGGGAGGCAGCAGUGGGGAAUAUUGGACAAUGGGCGCAAGCCUGAUCCAGCCAUGCCGCGUGUGUGAAGAAGGCCUUCGGGUUGUAAAGCACUUUCAGCGAGGAGGAAGGGGUGUGUGUUAAUAGUACACACCUUUGACGUUACUCGCAGAAGAAGCACCGGCUAACUCUGUGCCAGCCGCCGCCGUAACAC
rnacentral:rRNA from 1 species